CCCUUAGAUGUUCUGGGCCGCACGCGCGCUACACUGACGAAGUCAGCGAGCAUGUCCUACGCCGACAGGUGCGGGGAAUCUUGUCAAACUUCGUCGUGAUGGGGAUUGACUAUUGAAAUUCUUGAUCAUCAACGAGGAAUUCCUAGUAAGCGCAAGUCAGCAGCUUGCGUUGAUUACGUCCCUGCCCUUUGUACACACCGCCCGUCGCUACUACCGAUUGAAUGGUUUAGUGAGAUCUUCGGAUUGGCGCCACUGCGGCUCAGCAAUGGGCUCGGUGGAUGCCGAAAAGUUGAUCAAACUUGAUCAUUUAGAGGAAGUAAAAGUCGUAACA
rnacentral:rRNA from 1 species